UGUUUACAAUGCAAGUCGAACGGAAACGAAAAUAGCUUGCUAUUUGGCGUCGAGUGGCGAACGGGUGAGUAACGCGUAGGAAUCUACCCAGUAGAGGGGGAUAGCCCGAAGAAAUUCGGAUUAAUACCGCAUAAUCUCUACGGAGUAAAGAAGGCCUCUUUACAAUGCUUUUACUAUUGGAUGAGCCUGCGUUAGAUUAGUUAGUUGGUAGGGUAAAAGCCUACCAAGGCGACGAUCUAUAGCUGGUUUUACGAGAAUGAUCAGCCACACUGGAACUGAGACACGGUCCAGACUCCUACGGGAGGCAGUAGUGAAGAAUAUUGGACAAUGGGGGAAACCCUGAUCCAGCAAUGUUGCGUGUGUGAAGAAGGUCCGAGGAUUGUAAAGCACUUUCAGUAAGCAAGAAAAAUGUAAAUCUAAUAGAUUUGCAUGUUGACCACUUAUAGAAGAAGCACCGGCUAACUCCGUGCCAGCAGCCGCGGUAAUACGGAGGGUGCGAGCGUUAAUCGGAAUUACUGGGCGUAAAGGGUAAGUAGGCGGUUUAUAAAGUCACAU
rnacentral:rRNA from 1 species